rnacentral:misc_RNA from 1 species
UACAGAGGCCCCGAGCGUUACCCGGAAUCACUGGGCGUAAAGGGUGUGUAGGCGGCGAUGUUAGUCCUUUGUGAAAUCUCACGGCUCAACCGUGAAUCCGCAGGGGAAACGGCAUUGCUAGAGGAUGCGAGAGGUUAAGGGAACUCUAGGUGUAGGGGUGAAAUCCGUUGAUAUCUAGGGGAACACCGAAAGCGAAGGCACUUAACUGGCGCACUCCUGACGCUCAAACACGAAAGCGUGGGUAGCGAAUGGG